UAGGGAAUCUUCCGCAAUGGACGAAAGUCUGACGGAGCAACGCCGCGUGAGUGAUGAAGGCUUUCGGGUCGUAAAACUCUGUUGUUAGGGAAGAACAAGUACAAGAGUAACUGCUUGUACCUUGACGGUACCUAACCAGAAAGCCACGGCUAACUACGUGCCAGCAGCCGCGGUAAUACGUAGGUGGCAAGCGUUAUCCGGAAUUAUUGGGCGUAAAGCGCGCGCAGGCGGUUUCUUAAGUCUGAUGUGAAAGCCCACGGCUCAACCGUGGAGGGUCAUUGGAAACUUGGGAACUUGAGUGCAGAAGAGAAAAGCGGAAUUCCACGUGUAGCGGUGAAAUGCGUAGAGAUGUGGAGGAACACCAGUGGCGAAGGCGGCUUUUUGGUCUGUAACUGACGCUGAGGCGCGAAAGCGUGGGGAGCAAACA
rnacentral:rRNA from 1 species